GCAGGUUCUGAAUAAUUUAUAUGAAAACAAGAAGAUUGCAAGUGCCACUCACAAUAUCUAUGCAUACAGGAUCUACUGUGAGGAUAAAAACUCUUUCCUGCAGGACUGCGAGGACGACGGAGAAACUUCCAUCUUUUGCAGGAGGAAACAUCCAAAGCUGGAGGGAAGAACAAAAAACCUAAGGGCAAGAAGGCAAAGUGAAAAACCUUCCUGGAACAGAUGAGAACUGGAAUGAAGACGGACGGGCGACUAGGAAUGCUGACAAAUAAAAUAAACUGAAAAUGCAGUCAUAGUGAAUUGUAAGGGUUUAAAAGCUUUCAAUGUUGUGAUGAGGGUUAAACAACUUCAAAGUCAUGCCAAAAAUGGCUUGUGUAUGCAGUUGAGUCUGUUGCUACGCAUUGUUUCACACUAAGUGCUUUGUCUUAUGAAUAAAGAUUUUUAUUAAUUACAAAUUGAUUUGCAAACGAGGGUUUGAGGCUUGCCUGAAGUCACAAGGACGAACGAGUGCGAAACAGGUAAUAAAUACCCC